CCUGUCUGUACUCCUCCUGGGGGCUGACUGAAAAUGUGGGGGGGUCCUGUGGAGGCAGGAAAAGGCUGUGGCAAAGUUUACAGAACCUGGCAUUCCCUGGGGAACCUGCGUCUGCACAGCGUUAAUUAAGUGAGGUGGUGGUGAAAUUUACUGAACACAUGAAAUGACUGGGGUGCCCCUGAGGAGAGGUUCAGGAACUGAAGUGGUGUUCAUCUAGUCAUCCAACAAGGUGACAGCUGGGGUGGGGUUGCCAUGGCCGCUGCAAGCGAGGGACAGCCAAUCGCCCUGCAGGACCUCCAGGGAGGGGGGUGGAGUCUUGAUGAACACGG